UAGGUAAUAGCUAAAAAAGUACUUCAUUUACGAUGAAGUGAUCAUCUGUUCGAGAUGUUACCUGA
rnacentral:tRNA from 1 species